rnacentral:rRNA from 1 species
UACGGAAGCAGCAGUGGGGAAUAUUGCACAAUGGGCGCAAGCCUGAUGCAGCCAUGCCGCGUGUAUGAAGAAGGCCUUCGGGUUGUAAAGUACUUUCAGUCGUGAGGAAGGUGUUAAGGUUAAUAACCUUAGCAAUUGACGUUAGCGACAGAAGAAGCACCGGCUAACUCCGUGCCAGCAGCCGCGGUAAUACGGAGGGUGCGAGCGUUAAUCGGAAUUACUGGGCGUAAAGGGCACGCAGGCGGUUAAUUAAGUUGGAUGUGAAAUCCCCGGGCUUAACCUGGGAAUGGCAUUCAAGACUGGUUAGCUAGAGUCUUGUAGAGGGGGUAGAAUUCCAUGUGUAGCGGUGAAAUGCGUAGAGAUGUGGAGGAAUACCGGUGGCGAAGGCGGCCCCUGGACAAAGGCUGACGCUCAUGUGCGAAAGCGUGGGGAGCGAAAC